rnacentral:lncRNA from 10 species
GCAUUUAAAAAGGUGAAGAUCAUCACGCCAGCCUCGCAUGCUUCUGGAAAUCCUGCCUCCAUCCCCCUUCCCUGGCAGAGAAGAUGAAGGUCAGGAGGAGGCAGCAGGAGGUCCAGGGAGGGAGGAUCAGGAGUAAAGGUGCAUGCCCAGAGGGGCUCACGGGCCCUCCCACCCUCUGUCCCUGCGCUGCCUGGGAGCAGAGCAAGUCCUGCGUGGGAGGAUGCUGUAACCAGCAGUGCAGUCCGCGCCCUGCCGGGAGAAGAAGGAAGACAAAGGUGGCUCUCCCUGCCCACAGAGGUAAAAGGUGCACAGGACUGCUCAGCUUUGGUGCAAUCAAAGGAAUGUGAAAUAUCU